GACGAACGCUGGCGGCGUGCUUAACACAUGCAAGUCGAACGGAAAGGCCCUGCUUUUGUGGGGUGCUCGAGUGGCGAACGGGUGAGUAACACGUGAGUAACCUGCCCUUGACUUUGGGAUAACUUCAGGAAACUGGGGCUAAUACCGGAUAGGAGCUCCUGCUGCAUGGUGGGGGUUGGAAAGUUUCGGCGGUUGGGGAUGGACUCGCGGCUUAUCAGCUUGUUGGUGGGGUAGUGGCUUACCAAGGCUUUGACGGGUAGCCGGCCUGAGAGGGUGACCGGCGACAUUGGGACUGAGAUACGGCCCAGACUCCUACAGGAGGCAGCAGGGGGGAAUCUUGCACAGUGGGCGGGAGCCUGAUGCAGCAACGCCGCGUGCGGGAUGACGGCCUUCGGGUGGUAAACCGCUUUCGCCUGUGACGAAGCGUGAGUGACGGUAAUGAGUAAAGAAGCACCGGCUAACUACGUG
rnacentral:rRNA from 1 species